rnacentral:rRNA from 1 species
AGCGAACGUUUGCGGCGGGCUUAACACAUGCAAGUCGAACGAGAAUCCCUUCGGGGAGGAAAGUGGCGCACGGGUGCGUAACACGUGGAUAACCAACCCAUUGGUUUGGGACAACACCGGGAAACUGGUGCUAAUACCAGAUGUGUCGCAGCUGUCUUCAGGCGGUUGCGAGAAAGGCCCGCAAGGGUCGCCAACGGACGGGUCCGCGUCCCAUCAGCUAGUUGGUGAGGUAAUGGCUCACCAAGGCAAAGACGGGUAGCUGGUCUGAGAGGAUGAUCAGCCACACUGGAACUGAGACACGGUCCAGACUCCUACGGGAGGCAGCAGUGGGGAAUAUUGCGCAAUGGGCGAAAGCCUGACGCAGCCACGCCGCGUGAGCGAUGAAGGUCUUCGGAUCGUAAAGCUCUGUGGGGGAGAAGAAGAAAGCCGGUAGAAGAGCCGGCCUGACGGUAUCCCCUUAGCAAGCACCGGCUAACUCCGUGCCAGC